UUCCGGUUGAUCCCGCCGGACCUGACUGCUAUCGGAUUGAUACUAAGCCAUGCGAGUCAUUGUAGUAAUACAAGGCAGACGGCUCAGUAACGCGUAGUCAACCUACCCUAAGGACGGGGAUAACCUCGGGAAACUGAGAAUAAUACCCGAUAGAACAUAGCUCCUGGAAUGGUUUAUGUUUCAAAUAAUUUAUUGCCCUAGGAUGGGACUGCGGCCUAUCAGUUUGUUGGUGAGGUAAUGGCCCACCAAGACUAUUACAGGUACGGGCUCUGAGAGGAGUGGCCCGGAGAUGGGUACUGAGACACGGACCCAGGCCCUAUGGGGCGCAGCAGGCGAGAAAACCUUGCAAUGUGCGAAAGCACGACAAGGUUAAUCCGAGUGGUUUCUGCUAAAGGAACCUUUUGUCAGUCCUAGAAACACUGAUGAAUAAAGGGUGGGCAAGUUCUGGUGUCAGCCGCCGCGGUAAAACCAGCACCUCAA
rnacentral:rRNA from 1 species